AAAACCACGAAAGAAUCGUAAUAUUCCGAUGUCGGAUGAAUUAUUUACGAAUUUUUCGGCCGAAACUUCGCAAAGGGCGGAUACCAUGUAAAAAACAGCCUAGAAGUCGAAUUUUGACUUCGUUUUUUUUGUGCACACCCCACACAAUAAGUAUAAGUGGACUGGAAAGUGGCUAAGCGAUCCGACGAAGUUUCGAUUGAGUUUGAUUUUUUGGCCGAAAACUCGAAAAAAGACGGAUUUGACGUAAAACGCCGCCUAGAAGUCGAAUUUUGAGACGGUGUCUUGUGUGCACACUCCA
rnacentral:lncRNA from 1 species